ACAAGAGAAUUAUUUUGUCUAUCAAAAACUAAAGAUAAGUACAAAAACAUAUUUACAUUUUUAUUAAAUAAUGUAAAAUUUAAGAGCAUUUUUGUUUCUUAGGAUUAAUCAGUCUAAUUUAAACACAUGAUCGAUUUAAAAUAUCUGUACAUUUUUUAUUUCUAAAAAAAAAUUUUAAAGUUAUGAAAUAAAUUAAAUAAAAAAUGUUGUUUUUGUUUAGGACCAGUUCAGAGAAAGAUGGGUGAAACUUAAAAUAGGAUUGAGCCAAAGUUGAACCAGUCUGUUGGGACAUUUUUCGUAUUUACAAUAAGUAAGAAGACAAAGAAGAUUUCCUUAACUAAUAAUGCACAGAUCCUUUUUCUUGGCUCAUGGACUUCUUUUCCAGGAAGACAAAGAUAGCUAGAUUUUUGAAAGGAAUGUUAUCCGUCUACGGUCUGAGUCAACAUGGCCUUCUGUGCCCUGAAUGUGAUAUCUUUGUUAAAAAAUAAAAAAAAAUUAAAAAAGAAUUUUAAAAAAAAAUAAAAUUAAAAUUUUUGUAAAUUUUUAGAAAAAAAAAUUUUUUGAAUUUGAAUUUUUUGAUUCUGUAAACGUAUUUUACGUUAAUAUAAGUUUGUAAAAAAUAAAAAAAAUAAUUGUAAACAUUCAAAAAAUAAAUUGAAUUUAUUUUAAGUUUGUAAAAAAAAAUUUACAUACAUGUAUUGUUGUAUCGUAGUUUUAGAGUACAAAUUUUGUAUGUUUGUAAAAAAAAUUUAAAAAAAAUAUUUUGUGCUGUUUUAUAACCUAAUUAUACAAAUGUAUAGAUAAAUUAAUGCGUAGAGUUUUUUGUAAUGAAAAAAAAAAUUAUCAAUAAAUAUUCAAUAAAUUACAUCUUAAUUUUAUUUACAUUUUUGGAUGUUCAUUUUUUCUGCUCUACGGGUCGUUUUGAUGGUCGGAUCGAUGAAUGGAAAAUGGAAUUUAGGUUGACACAGUUUUUUAGGUGGUUUUGGCGGUUACUAGGUUACUGGUGAAGGUCGUGAGCGUAACGGUACCGGUUGUGGGAAGGUGGAUGUUAUCUUCCAGCUGGGUGGUCUUUUUUACGACGAUUUUAUUUUUUUUAUUUUUUGAAGACUACCUGAGCACUUUUAAAGCCAAAAUUGUGCUUUUUAAACUGAGUCAAGAGGUAGAAAAUUCGCGAAUAUUUCGAGUUUUUAUUUAAUUUAAUUCAAACCAUUUUCCAUUAAAAAAUCAGUCUGAUUUUUCUAAAAAAAAAUUUAGAGGGUAAUUUUUUGUAAUCAAUCACUUUUUAUACAAUAAAUAAAAUUAUUCAAAACUUCAGAAAAUCUAAAAAACGAAAAAUUAUAAGUUUUG